UACAUAAAAAAUGUAACAAACUAUACACUACUACUGUGUACUAUUGAGCAUACACUCGUGAUAAUAUGAAGAAUGUUACUUUUCCACUCUAAUGAAGAGCAUAUAAUUAAAAUAAAACGUCACGACAUGAUCAGUACCAGCAGUAAGGAUGAACAACAACAGGGAAUAGAGAGAAGACACUUGGGUGAAAGUAUAAUAUAAGCUGAUGCACGUCAGUAUUAGGCUUUGAUCUAACCAACUAUACUACAGAAGUAGGAAAUAAGAAACAGAAAACUCGACAAUGCACGGCCAUUCCUAUCAAAAGUUAUUCCAGAUAGCUGGAUUCAUCAUGAUAAAAAAACACGUAACUAUUUUUCGCACAAGCACAAGCAGUUUAGUUGCUAAUUCUCUCCCUUUAGCUACGGCCCUGCUGAUUCACUCGCGAGUCGCGACACACUAUCGAAAUGUUUCACUCUGUGCUAUCGAGGCGUAACAAAGGAUCGACCAGGGGUGGAGAAGAGAAAGGGCACACACUAUUCCUUGGACAUCUGAGUUUAAGAGCUCCAGCGAAGUUAAAUCCAAUACUGUGCAGCACAAGAUGCUUGGGAAAAUAAAAUAAUUCUCCUUAAGGAUUUCAAAUAUGUAAUAUGGUGGCGCUUUAAAUGUAUGCUGUAGUGUGUGUGUGUGUUUUUUUAUUGUUGUGUGUAAGAAUGUCCAUGUGUGUGUAAAUGCACGAGCAAUUGUAAGAAAAAGUAAAGGAGGGGCAAUGAGAACAUCUCGGAAUCUUAAAUUGGUGUAAAUGACGCGGCCAUAGAUGAUUUAAAGCACGGUGCGUCAGGCCUAAUUACUUGGGAUGGGUUAGAUUGCAUUAAAUAAUGAUAGCAGUGAAGAAAAGAGAAGAUAAAAAAAAAUGGAACAGAAUGAAGUCGAAAAUAAAUAUUAUAAUAAUUAUGUAAAUGAUGUGAAUUAAAUGAUUUGAGGACACACGGAUCUCCGUUUAUUGCGAAUGAAAAUGGCGGAUAACUUAUUUAACUUUUAUUAUUAUUAUCGUAAUUAUAGUAAUAAUAAUAACAUUAAUAACGAUGAUAAUAGUAGUAGUAGUAAUAGUACUAGUAUAGUAAUAGAAUGUGUAGUAUUAAGUGUAUUUAACUUGCGUUUUACGAACCCGCGUGCGUGUAUUUGACUGACGUCUCGCGAUGCAUACCUUUAAACGCAUGUAUAUUUCCGGUUAUGUAAUCAAAAGCGCAGAAAUUUUAGCCCCAGUCGAUUUAUUAGUAAGGUUAUUUUUUUAGUUCGUGGUUAUAAAAGGUCGCCGUAGUGGUAGUUGAGAAAAGUUGGUUAGGUAUUAAAGCUAAGAAGUGUAUAAGUAAAGAAAAAGAGAGAAUAGUUGUUCGCAGUCGCGUAUCGUGGAUUCGUGGCGCAA